rnacentral:rRNA from 1 species
GACGAACCGUGCGAACGUUGUUCGGAUUCACUGGGCUUAAAGGGCGCGUAGGCGGUCGACCAAGUCUGGGGUGAAAUCUUUCGGCUCAACCGGAAAAGUGCCCCCGAUACUGGCCGGCUAGAGGGAGAUAGGGGCAUGCGGAACUUCCGGUGGAGCGGUGAAAUGACGUAGAUAUCGGAAGGAACGCCGGUGGCGAAAGCGGCGUGCUGGAUCUCUUCUGACGCUGAGGCGCGAAAGCCAGGGGAGC